AUGAUCAAGUGCAUUCAUAUCCGAGAAUUGUGGCGAUCCGGACCGAUUUACAUCCUGCAGGAGAUACCCGACCACCAGCUACGCACAGCUGAUCGGGUUGCACAUAACGACCUUUCGAUUAGAUGUACCCAACAAUCGAAAAUAUGACUACUCGAACCCAGAGCCGCACCCCCACAUGGAAUCCCACGUCUGGCGAUCUCCACUGUGAGUUUCAGGC
rnacentral:lncRNA from 1 species